GAUGAACGCUGGCGGCGUGCUUAACACAUGCAAGUCGAACGAUGAAGCCCAGCUUGCUGGGUGGAUUAGUGGCGAACGGGUGAGUAACACGUGAGUAACCUGCCCUUAACUCUGGGAUAAGCCUGGGAAACUGGGUCUAAUACCGGAUAGGAGCGCCUACCGCAUGGUGGGUGUUGGAAAGCUUUAUCGGUUUUGGAUGGACUCGCGGCCUAUCAGCUUGUUGGUGAGGUAAUGGCUCACCAAGGCGACGACGGGUAGCCGGCCUGAGAGGGUGACCGGCCACACUGGGACUGAGACACGGCCCAGACUCCUACGGGAGGCAGCAGUGGGGAAUAUUGCACAAUGGGCGAAAGCCUGAUGCAGCGACGCCGCGUGAGGGAUGACGGCCUUCGGGUUGUAAACCUCUUUCAGUAGGGAAGAAGCGAAAGUGACGGUACCUGCAGAAGAAGCACCGGCUAACUACGUG
rnacentral:rRNA from 1 species